GUCCCAGUCGGUGGCCGUGGAAACCGCGCCGAGGCUCGCGAGCAGCAACAAGCAGCGCGUCGCGAGCUCCAUGAUCCGGAGAAGCAGCGGAGGGGCGACACGGUGAGAUACACAGCAGCAGCAGCAGCAGCGCUCAGAGUGACGAUCCCGUGGCCGAAGGUUUGUGCACGCCUGGCCAGCACACCCAUGUCUAAUACCUAGGACCCUGUGCGUAAAGCCUGCUCCAUGAAGAUAUAAUGUGCCAAGAUUGACAUAGAACAACUCAAGUGUCCUGCAUCCUGACUGAAAACCUCAGGGAUUAAUUGGAUCACCAACAACACCCCAGGUCUUCUUGCCUAGCAUCAGUGCCUGACCUCACUAACGCUCUUGUAGCUGAAUGAACACAAAUCCACACAACCACACAUCAACAUCUAGUGGAAAGUUAUCAUAACAGCAAAGGAAGAAUAAAUCUGAAAUGGGAUAUUCACCAAGCACAUAUGGAUGUGAUGCUUAUCCGAGCUACCUCGGGUCAUGGAGAGCCUGUGCCUAUCUCAGGCGUCAUCGGGCAUCAAGGCAGGAUACACCCUGGACGGAGUGCCAACCCUUCGCAGGGCACACACACACACACUCAUUCACUUACGCAAUCACACACUACGGACAAUUUUCCAGAGAUGCCAAUCAACCUACCAUGCAUGUCUUUGGACCGGGGGAGGAAACCGGAGUACCCAGAGGAAACCCCCGAGGCACGGGGAGAACAUGCAAACUCCACACACACAAGGUGGAGGUGGGAAUCGAACCCCGACCCUGGAGGUGUGAGGCAAACGUGCUAACCACUAGGCCACUGUGCCCCCACAGUCAUCCUUCUUUAUUAUAUUUUUUCCAGAAAUGUAAGAAUAAUAAAAAUUUCCCACCACAUUACCAUCUCUCAGUCUGGUGUUUUAAUCACAAUCAUGAUUUUUGGUAUCUUCUGCUAAAUAAC